GACGAACGCUGGCGGCGUGCCUAAUACAUGCAAGUCGAGCGGAAUGAUGAAGAAGCUUGCUUCUUCUGAUUUUAGCGGCGGACGGGUGAGUAACACGUGGGCAACCUACCUUGUAGAUUGGGAUAACUCCGGGAAACCGGGGCUAAUACCGGAUAAUCCAUUUUGCUUCAUGGCGAGAUGUUAAAAGGCGGCUUCGGCUGUCACUACGAGAUGGGCCCGCGGCGCAUUAGCUAGUUGGUAGGGUAAUGGCCUACCAAGGCGACGAUGCGUAGCCGACCUGAGAGGGUGAUCGGCCACACUGGGACUGAGACACGGCCCAGACUCCUACGGGAGGCAGCAGUAGGGAAUCUUCCACAAUGGACGAAAGUCUGAUGGAGCAACGCCGCGUGAGUGAAGAAGGUUUUCGGAUCGUAAAACUCCGUUGUAAGGGAAGAACACGUACGAGAGUAACUGCUCGUACCUUGACGGUACCUUAUUAGAAAGCCACGGCUAACUACGUG
rnacentral:rRNA from 1 species